rnacentral:rRNA from 1 species
UACGUAGGGGGCAAGCGUUGUCCGGAUUUAUUGGGCGUAAAGCGCGCGUAGGCGGCAAGGUAUGUCGUGCGCGAAAUCUCCCGGCUUAACUGGGAGGGGCCGUGCGAAACUGCCUGGCUUGAGGUCGGAAGGGGAAAGUGGAAUUCCGGGUGUAGUGGUGGAAUACGUAGAUAUCCGGAGGAACACCAGCGGCGAAGGCGGCUUUCUGGUCCGAUUCUGACGCUGAGGCGCGAAAGCGUGGGGAGCGAUCCGG